AGCCGCCGCGGGAAUACAGAGGGUGCGAGCGUUAAUCGGAUUUACUGGGCGUAAAGCGUGCGUAGGCGGCUUUUUAAGUCGGAUGUGAAAUCCCUGAGCUUAACUUAGGAAUUGCAUUCGAUACUGGGAAGCUAGAGUAUGGGAGAGGAUGGUAGAAUUCCAGGUGUAGCGGUGAAAUGCGUAGAGAUCUGGAGGAAUACCGAUGGCGAAGGCAGUCAUCUGGCCUAAUACUGACGCUGAGGUACGAAAGCAUGGGGAGCAAACAGGAUUAGAUACCCCCGUAGUCCCUGUCUCUUAUACA
rnacentral:rRNA from 1 species